AAUAGAUACCCGGUAGUCCACGCCGUAAACGAUGAAUACUAGGUGUGGGGUUGUCAUGACCUCCGUGCCGCUGCUAACGCAUUAAGUAUUCCGCCUGGGGAGUACGGUCGCAAGAUUAAAACUCAAAGGAAUUGACGGGGGCCCGCACAAGCAGCGGAGCAUGUGGUUUAAUUCGAAGCAACGCGAAGAACCUUACCUAGACUUGACAUCUCCUGAAUUACUCUGUAAUGGAGGAAGCCCUUCGGGGCAGGAAGACAGGUGGUGCAUGGUUGUCGUCAGCUCGUGUCGUGAGAUGUUGGGUUAAGUCCCGCAACGAGCGCAACCCUUAUUGUUAGUUGCUAUCAUUUAGUUGAGCACUCUAGCGAGACUGCCCGGGUUAACCGGGAGGAAGGUGGGGAUGACGUCAAAUCAUCAUGCCCCUUAUGUCUAGGGCUACACACGUGCUACAAUGGCUGGUACAGAGAGAUGCAAUACCGCGAGGUGGAGCCAAACUUCAAAACCAGUCUCAGUUCGGAUUGUAGGCUGAAACUCG
rnacentral:rRNA from 1 species